AACCAAAGGUUUGAGCCUCACCUUAUGGAGGGGAAAACUAUUCUUCUUUGCUUUAUGGUGCUUGUGCUGCUAGGACAUUCAACUCAUGCUUGGAAUUGCCAUACGAGCGGGACGCGGAGUUUCUGCACCCGAGCUCAAAUGAGCUCGGGUGAACAGUAAAAUCAAAACUAAAU